rnacentral:rRNA from 1 species
GACGAACGCUGGCGGCGUGCUUAACACAUGCAGGUCGAACGGAAAGGCCCUGCUUUUGUGGGGUGCUCGAGUGGCGAACGGGUGAGUAACACGUGAGUAACCUGCCCUUGACUUUGGGAUAACUUCAGGAAACUGGGGCUAAUACCGGAUAGGAGCUCCUGCUGCAUGGUGGGGGUUGGAACGUUUCGGCGGUUGGGGAUGGACUCGCGGCUUAUCAGCUUGUUGGUGGGGUAGUGGCUUACCAAGGCUUUGACGGGUAGCCGGCCUGGGAGGGUGACCGGCCACAUUGGGACUGAGAUACGGCCCAGACUCCUACGGGAGGCAGCAGUGGGGAAUAUUGCACAAUGGGCGGAAGCCUGAUGCAGCAACGCCGCGUGCGGGAUGACGGCCUUCGGGUUGUAAACCGCUUUCGCCUGUGACGAAGCGUGAGUGACGGUAAUGGGUAAAGAAGCACCGGCUAACUACGUG